rnacentral:rRNA from 1 species
UCGGGAAUUUUGUGCAAUGGGCGAAAGCCUGACACAGCAACGCCGCGUGAAGGAUGAAGUCCCUCGGGAUGUAAACUUCGUAAGAAUAGGAAGAAUAAAUGACGGUACUAUUUGUAAGGUCCGGCUAACUACGUGCCAGCAGCCGCGGUAAUACGUAGGGACCAAGCGUUGUUCGGAUUUACUGGGCGUAAAGGGCGCGUAGGCGGCAUGACAAGUCACUUGUGAAAUCUCUGGGCUUAACCCAGAACGGCCAAGUGAUACUGUCGCGCUAGAGUGCAGAAGGGGCAAUCGGAAUUCUUGGUGUAGCGGUGAAAUGCGUAGAUAUCAAGAGGAACACCUGAGGUGAAGACGGGUUGCUGGGCUGACACUGACGCUGAGGCGCGAAAGCCAGGGGAGCAAACGGGAUUAGAUACCCCAGUAGUCCCUGAGCGGGCUGGCAAGGCGCAU